rnacentral:rRNA from 1 species
UACGUAGGGUGCUAGCGUUGUCCGGAUUUAUUGGGCGUAAAGGGCUCGUAGGCGGCGUGUCGCGUCGGGAGUGAAAGCCCGCUGCUUAACGGCGGGUUGGCUUCCGGUACGGGCAUGACUGGAGUUCGGCAGGGGAGACUGGAAUUCCUGGUGUAGCGGUGAAAUGCGCAGAUAUCAGGAGGAACACCGGUGGCGAAGGCGGGUCUCUGGGCAGUAACUGACGCUGAGGAGCGAAAGCGUGGGGAGCGAACAGG